rnacentral:ncRNA from 2 species
UGUCAAUAGAGCGAUGGAGUUCGCUAAAGCGCCGCAUUGCGGAUGAUAACUCCUAUUGGAGG